UCAUAUUUUCAUAUCUCGUCUUUCUUUGGCCUAAGCAGCAACAACAAUGGUGAGCUCCGGCCAGCGAGUUAGUGAAAGCACCGGUGCCACCCUCUCCACCUAUGAGAUCCAGAGAAGAAUUUCCUAUCCUCUUAUCUCCCCCUCUCACCCUUCGUCCCUCUCUUUUCUUCUCUGCUUUCUGCCUUCCUGCAAAGCCCCAGACUACCACAAAUAGCAGCGGUGGAGAAACAGCGAACAACAACAUCAUCUCCAGUCGCCUGCUUUUCCAAAAAAGCCAUCAAAGCAGCGAGCACCAGCAACCGGCAUCCACCAGUAUUCAAGCUUAGUGUCGCAAUUGGGUGCCCUAGAGAGGAUGCAAUUGUUCAGCCUACAUUGGUGAUUGUUUACUUUUGUAGUAAUGAAUCAACGGGGCCUCAUUCAUUGGUGAUUUUCUAGCAAGAUUGAUUUGUGUCCAUCUAGUGUUGAUAAUGAGCUUUAAUUUAGGAAUAAUGUAUUUGUUUAGCAUAAAUACCUACACUACUUAAUCCUAUUAAUGACUGUCACGCUCAGAGCCUACACCCUGGACGUGGCCGACACACAACAUCAUUGCUGUCCAUGAGCUAACCUGUGGACUGUCAUACUUAACUCAGUGGAAGACUUAACUUAACUUAAUUGUAAAGCUAGAAUCUAAUGAGAAAUACUUUAAAUAAUAGUUUUGGCCAAAAUGACACU